GGGGUUGUGGCUCAGUGGUAGAGCACUCCCCUAGCACAGGUGAGGCCCUGGGUUUGAUCCCCAACACCA
rnacentral:tRNA from 1 species